rnacentral:lncRNA from 1 species
AUGCCUUGGUUCUUCUGGUGUCUACCUUGGGCACAGACUGAGUGGGCUCCAGUGAUUAGAGAAAGCCUCUUGGGAAGAGUCCCAGGGCUCCUGUUUGUGAAACUUUCAGUUGGCCUUCCUUGGAGUAGAAGGAGAGAGACAGAGACAGAGAGAAUCUUAAGCAGGCUCCACGUCCAGUGUGGAGCCCAACAUGGGACUCAAUCCCAUGACCUUGAGAUCAUGACCUAAGCUGAAAUCAAGAGCUGGAUGUUCAACCUCAUGAGCCAUGCAGUACAACAGAAAAUUCUGAUCAUUAUAUAUAAAACACAGACUUGAAGACUAAAAGUUCAAGAGAAG